UCUCCCUGCCCUUGCCUCACUUCCAUCCAACACCAUCCUCGCUACGAUGCAGUACUGCACCUGCUGCCCUUACUCCUGCUCAGCUGAGUCUACAAACGAAGGCAGAGCCUUGAUGAGCUAUGGGAGGUAGUCUGUUAGCCCAAUUAACAGAAGAGAAACAUGAGCAUUGUGUGGUAGAGCUGCUUGGCCCUUACAGGCAUCCAUCCCAGCUUAUCUGAAGCUGCACUGCUGGCUCUGAGCAUGUCUCUUGGCAGCAGCUGGGGGAGGACAGCUAAGUUUCUUUAAAGAUCUCGGGUGAGAACUUCCCCUGGAGCCUUACCGAAAUCCAAGUCAGCUCUAUCAGCUGGACCAUCUCUGUCCUCGUGACUGCUUCAAAGAGUUAGAGAGCACCACUUCACCCCGAUGAAGUUUGCAGACUCUUCCUCUUUACACCACACUCAUUCAUCUGGUCACGGGUCAAUUAAAUGCAUGCAUUGUCUGGAUCAAGUCCAGCAUGGUGCCGGUGCCUUGCCACAUGGAAUAGAAAGAGACCGUGGUGCAAGCAAGCAAGCUCACCAACAAAACCCACCGCCCGCAACGCAGAGAUAUAGAAAUGUGCAUCACUCACCAGGUCAGCUUCGCAUUCCCUCUUGCAAGUGCUCUGUGCAUCUACCCACAGGUUGGGGUUCAUGUCAUUUGGGCAUAUCCCUGCGUGUGAAUACCGUAUGGGAGGUAAAGCUCUCCCUUGCAGAGAGACCUCCAGAAGCAACAGAACACUGCUCUUCCCCAGCAAGAUCCACAUCCACCGAGUGAACAGCGCCAACAACAUCUCAGAACUUCUCCAGGGCAGUGGCAGUGACCGAGCUGGAGCAAGGGGUCGAUCCUGUUUGUGCUGAACACUUGCCAAAAUGUAGAAGCACGUGGCAGAAGCUCGAGCUGCUCAGCACCUGGCAGGAUUAGAGCCUCCAGGCUGAAUUCUGGGCUGGCUUGGCCGGAUCCUGCUGGGUGCCCAGGGCCUCCUGGGAGGACCAGACUGAGGAUGGGUUGCCCAGAGGCACUUUUCAGCCACGGGGGAGCAGAGCAGGGCUCUGAAGAACCAGACGCAGGCUCAUGGCAUAUGAAUGGAGCAGUCUUCUGCUUUGCUAUGACCACCUCCAUCCCGACAGAUCUUCUCCAAGGACAGGUUAGAGGUAUCAUUAAAGGAAAGGUAACCUGAACGUCUAGAUUUGAUGUCUUGUCACACCAAUGUUAGGUCAGCGUUUGGCACAGUGGAGAGCAGCAGGGACAUCCCAUAGGAGCCUGGAUGACUAAGAAAAAGGACAAAGACAUCAUCCUUAAUGAUAAUGAUGGUUUUGUUGGGUCGCUGUACAUGAGGCACAGGAAAUUCAUGUUAACUAAGAAAUCAGGCUUUCAGUAAACCUUUUUCAUAGGAAGCUUCUUAGGGAGUCAAAUCCUGCCUUAAUCCAAUGGAAAUGGGACAGGCGCUGUUCCCCCCCAACUCCCACCACUCCAGGAACAGGGAGCACUCAGCCCUGGAAGGAUCUGUCCCUUGGCCACUUGAACCCUGCCAGCAGAGAGAGGACAACAGCACCAUAAAUCCCUCUGUGAAUGCUGCCAGGCAGCUCCUGAGGUCAGAGGAGGCUCCGAAUAACCCUCGCCAGCUGCCCCAUCCCAGCCAGAACAUCACAGAAAGGCUGUGACAUGGCCACAUCCAGGAGGUGACACCAGCAUGCAGAUGGCCCUGGGACAGCAGGGACCCGGCUGUCCUAGCACAGGUUGUGAGAAUGAUGCCCUUGGUAUCUUCUGGGUUUCACUGAAGGCUCAUUGCUCACCUGGUUUAAAUUAGAUUAGCUGCACAGUGGAUCUGACUGGGUACUCCAGGACAACACCAGCUUGUGACAGCUGUGAAUCAGAGACUGUCAAAGUGCCUGGGCAUGGUUUUUCUGUUCUUUCUUGUUUAUAAA